UACGUAGGGUGCAAGCGUUGUCCGGAAUUAUUGGGCGUAAAGAGCUCGUAGGCGGUUUGUUGCGUCGGCUGUGAAAACCCGGGGCUCAACCCCGGGCCUGCAGCCGAUACGGGCAGACUAGAGUUCGGCAGGGGAGACUGGAAUUCCUGGUGUAGCGGUGAAAUGCGCAGAUAUCAGGAGGAACACCGGUGGCGAAGGCGGGUCUCUGGGCCGAUACUGACGCUGAGGAGCGAAAGCAUGGGGGAGCGAACAGGG
rnacentral:rRNA from 1 species